rnacentral:rRNA from 1 species
GAUGAACGCUGGCGGCGUGCCUAACACAUGCAAGUCGAGCGGCAGCGAGGGGUGCUUGCACCCUGUCGGCGAGCGGCGGACGGCUGAGUAACGCGUGGGAACGUGCCCCAAAGUGAGGAAUAACUGCCCGAAAGGGUAGCUAAUACCGCAUAUUAUCUUCGGAUCAAAGGAUUUAUCCGCUUUGGGAGCGGCUCGCGUCGGAUUAGGUAGUUGGUGAGGUAAUGGCUCACCAAGCCGACGAUCCGUAGCUGGUCUGAGAGGAUGACCAGCCAGACUGGAACUGAGACACGGUCCAGACUCCUACGGGAGGCAGCAGUGAGGAAUCUUCCACAAUGGGCGAAAGCCUGAUGGAGCAACGCCGCGUGCAAGACGAAGGCCUUCGGGUUGUAAACUGCUUUUAUAAGUGAGGAAUAUGACGGUAACUUAUGAAUAAGGAUCGGCUAACUACGUG